rnacentral:rRNA from 1 species
UUAAGUUAUUAAGGGCGCACGGUGGAUGCCUUGGCACUAGAAGCCGAUGAAGGACGUUACUAACGACGAUAUGCUUUGGGGAGCUGUAAGUAAGCUUUGAUCCAGAGAUUUCCGAAUGGGGAAACCCAGCAUGAGUUAUGUCAUGUUAUCGAUAUGUGAAUACAUAGCAUAUCAGAAGGCACACCCGGAGAACUGAAACAUCUUAGUACCCGGAGGAAGAGAAAGAAAAUUCGAUUCCCUUAGUAGCGGCGAGCGAAACGGGAAGAGCCCAAACCAACAAGCUUGCUUGUUGGGGUUGUAGGACACUCUAUACGGAGUUACAAAGGACGACAUUAGACGAAUCAUCUGGAAAGAUGAAUCAAAGAAGGUAAUAAUCCUGUAGUCGAAAAUGUUGUCUCUCUUGAGUGGAUCCUGAGUACGACGGAGCACGUGAAAUUCCGUCGGAAUCUGGGAGGACCAUCUCCUAAGGCUAAAUACUCUCUAGUGACCGAUAGUGAACCAGUACCGUGAGGGAAAGGUGAAAAGCACCCCGGAAGGGGAGUGAAAUAGAACCUGAAACCGUGUGCUUACAAGUAGUCAGAGCCCGUUAAUGGGUGAUGGCGUGCCUUUUGUAGAAUGAACCGGCGAGUUACGAUUUGAUGCAAGGUUAAGCAGUAAAUGUGGAGCCGUAGCGAAAGCGAGUCUGAAUAGGGCGUUUAGUAUUUGGUCGUAGACCCGAAACCAGGUGAUCUACCCUUGGUCAGGUUGAAGUUCAGGUAACACUGAAUGGAGGACCGAACCGACUUACGUUGAAAAGUGAGCGGAUGAACUGAGGGUAGCGGAGAAAUUCCAAUCGAACCUGGAGAUAGCUGGUUCUCUCCGAAAUAGCUUUAGGGCUAGCCUCAAGUGAUGAUUAUUGGAGGUAGAGCACUGUUUGGACGAGGGGCCCCUCUCGGGUUACCGAAUUCAGACAAACUCCGAAUGCCAAUUAAUUUAACUUGGGAGUCAGAACAUGGGUGAUAAGGUCCGUGUUCGAAAGGGAAACAGCCCAGACCACCAGCUAAGGUCCCAAAAUAUAUGUUAAGUGGAAAAGGAUGUGGCGUUGCCCAGACAACUAGGAUGUUGGCUUAGAAGCAGCCAUCAUUUAAAGAGUGCGUAAUAGCUCACUAGUCGAGUGACACUGCGCCGAAAAUGUACCGGGGCUAAACAUAUUACCGAAGCUGUGGAUUGUCCUUUGGACAAUGGUAGGAGAGCGUUCUAAGGGCGUUGAAGCAUGAUCGUAAGGACAUGUGGAGCGCUUAGAAGUGAGAAUGCCGGUGUGAGUAGCGAAAGACGGGUGAGAAUCCCGUCCACCGAUUGACUAAGGUUUCCAGAGGAAGGCUCGUCCGCUCUGGGUUAGUCGGGUCCUAAGCUGAGGCCGACAGGCGUAGGCGAUGGAUAACAGGUUGAUAUUCCUGUACCACCUAUAAUCGUUUUAAUCGAUGGGGGGACGCAGUAGGAUAGGCGAAGCGUGCGAUUGGAUUGCACGUCUAAGCAGUAAGGCUGAGUAUUAGGCAAAUCCGGUACUCGUUAAGGCUGAGCUGUGAUGGGGAGAAGACAUUGAGUCUUCGAGUCGUUGAUUUCACACUGCCGAGAAAAGCCUCUAGAUAGAAAAUAGGUGCCCGUACCGCAAACCGACACAGGUAGUCAAGAUGAGAAUUCUAAGGUGAGCGAGCGAACUCUCGUUAAGGAACUCGGCAAAAUGACCCCGUAACUUCGGGAGAAGGGGUGCUCUUUAGGGUUAACGCCCAGAAGAGCCGCAGUGAAUAGGCCCAAGCGACUGUUUAUCAAAAACACAGGUCUCUGCUAAACCGUAAGGUGAUGUAUAGGGGCUGACGCCUGCCCGGUGCUGGAAGGUUAAGAGGAGUGGUUAGCUUCUGCGAAGCUACGAAUCGAAGCCCCAGUAAACGGCGGCCGUAACUAUAACGGUCCUAAGGUAGCGAAAUUCCUUGUCGGGUAAGUUCCGACCCGCACGAAAGGCGUAACGAUUUGGGCACUGUCUCAACGAGAGACUCGGUGAAAUCAUAGUACCUGUGAAGAUGCAGGUUACCCGCGACAGGACGGGAAGACCCCGUGGAGCUUUACUGUAGCCUGAUAUUGAAAUUCGGCACAGCUUGUACAGGAUAGGUAGGAGCCUUUGAAACGUGAGCGCUAGCUUACGUGGAGGCGCUGGUGGGAUACUACCCUAGCUGUGUUGGCUUUCUAACCCGCACCACUUAUCGUGGUGGGAGACAGUGUCAGGCGGGCAGUUUGACUGGGGCGGUCGCCUCCUAAAAGGUAACGGAGGCGCUCAAAGGUUCCCUCAGAAUGGUUGGAAAUCAUUCAUAGAGUGUAAAGGCAUAAGGGAGCUUGACUGCGAGACCUACAAGUCGAGCAGGGUCGAAAGACGGACUUAGUGAUCCGGUGGUUCCGCAUGGAAGGGCCAUCGCUCAACGGAUAAAAGCUACCCCGGGGAUAACAGGCUUAUCUCCCCCAAGAGUUCACAUCGACGGGGAGGUUUGGCACCUCGAUGUCGGCUCAUCGCAUCCUGGGGCUGUAGUCGGUCCCAAGGGUUGGGCUGUUCGCCCAUUAAAGCGGUACGCGAGCUGGGUUCAGAACGUCGUGAGACAGUUCGGUCCCUAUCCGUCGUGGGCGUAGGAAAUUUGAGAGGAGCUGUCCUUAGUACGAGAGGACCGGGAUGGACAUACCUCUGGUGUACCAGUUGUCGUGCCAACGGCAUAGCUGGGUAGCUAUGUGUGGACGGGAUAAGUGCUGAAAGCAUCUAAGCAUGAAGCCCCCCUCAAGAUGAGAUUUCCCAACUUCGGUUAUAAGAUCCCUCAAAGAUGAUGAGGUUAAUAGGUUCGAGGUGGAAGCAUGGUGACAUGUGGAGCUGACGAAUACUAAUCGAUCGAAGACUUAAUCAA